UUGUAACAAAAAAAAAUAAAGAAAAUAAGAGAGAGAAAGAGAGAGGUUACUUACUUACCUUUUUGAAUUUUCUGAAUAUUGAAAUUAGUUAGAAGAAUAAAACUCCAACCAAUUCCACCAUUUAGAGAGAGAAACUCAGAGAGAUCUGGUUCUCUGUUUCAGAUCGUAGCUUAGAGUCUGGUUUAGGGUUUCGGUUUCGAUCGAUCCCUAUUUUUCAGGCACAGAUAACACAAACGCUUUCAUCUCUCAAUUUCGCUUUCUCAUCGAUUCAUUAUCAUCAUCUAUGGCGGCGAUCGAAGAAUUAUCGGACCUCGCUGAUUCCAUUCGUCAAUCUUGUCCGUUACUCGCAGACGAAGAUAUCGACGAAACUUCCAAUUCUAGACGACCUUCAACUUUCCUCAACGUUGUUGCUCUCGGCAACAUCGGUUCUGGUAAAUCAGCGGUUUUGAACUGUUUAAUUGGACAUCCAGUUCCGGUGGUUUAAAGACAUUCAUGGCAGGAUAGGUUGAGUACGGCCAUCUCAGCCAAGGCUCGAGAUCAAAUAACUUUGAUACUACGCAGGUCUUUGUGUGAAUGAGUGAUGAUGAUGAUUUUGGUUACCUUAAUGUGUUUUAAUUAGAGUAUUAGAUAUAAUAGAAUUAUACGGAUAUGAAAAGGAUAUAAAUUUCUGGAUUAUUACCAUUUCCCGUCCAAAGUUGCUGUCUUUCUUGACAAUAUCGUAGUCAUCUGGUGAAUUUUUUGUCGUUUUCUAUAACCGGGUUGCAAACUUGGUUGAAAUUAACCCAAGCAAUUUUGCCUCAUUCUCGAUUCUAUACACGAUCCCAAUCACAAUUUUGAUAACAAUGAUUAUGAGGCCAGAACCUACUGUUUUUGAAAUGAUGGAUUGGAUUUCGUCUUUUUUAAUGAUCGGAUCUGUAGAUCGACAUAUUUCGGCCUCAAAUAUCUAGGUUGAAGGCCAUCUCUUAAGGUUUACAGUUUCUGUUGCUGCGGUGCUUCGGUAUUGAAGGAGAAGAUUAGAAGACUAGGUUUAAGUUAGGUUAAAUGAAAAGGCUAUGUGGGAGUGAGACCUUCAGGCCCAAUCUACAUAAAUGGAUUUUUUUUAAGUCAAAAGGUGUGCAAAUGGUUAAAUAUUGCAUUGAUGAUCCUCAAGCCCAAAUCCUAUUCGCUAGAUAAAUUCGAUAUAUAUGUUACCUUGAUGAGCCUUAGUAAAAUUUUCGCAGACCCUUGAAUUCAAUUUUUAUUGGCUAUAUAGAUUCGUUUAUAUGUUGCCUCAAUGAGCCUUAUUGAAAGUUGCCCAUCGAUGACCAUUAUUAAAAGUUGCCUGGAUGACCCUUAUUAAAAGUUGUCUGGAUGACCCUUAUUAAAAGUUGUCUGGAUGACCCUUAUUUAAAGUUGCCUGGAUGAUCCUUAUUUAAAGUUGCCUGGAUGACCCUUAAGUCAAAUUCUGAUUGGCUAUAUAAAUUCGGUUAUAAGUUGCCUCAUUGACCUUUAUUAAAUGUUUUCUGGACGACAAUGAAGUCCAUUUCUUAUUGGCUAUAUAAAUUCGGUUACUUGUUGCCUUGACGACUGUUACUAGAUGUUGGCUUUAUAAGUUCGGUUAAAUGUUCCCUCAAUGACGCUUAUUAAAUGUUGCCUCAAUGACGCUUAUUAAAUGUUGCCUCAAUGACGCUUAUUAAAUGUUGGUUCGACGACCCUUAAGUCCAAUAUUUAUUGGCUAUAUAAUUUUGGUUACAUGUUGCCUCAAUUAUCCAAGUCGUAUUCUUAUUGGCUCAAUGACCUUUAAGUUCAAUUAUUAUUGGGAUUAUAAAUUUGGUUAAUUAUUGACUUGAUGACCCUUAUAUCUCAUUGUUGCCGGAAAUAAAUUUGAACAUGGUCAAAUGGUUACUCAACAUGUCAAGGUUGCUCGAGAAUUAAAUCUAAUGUUGAGUACGGCUACCUCAGCCAAGGCUGGAGAUCAAAUAACUGUGAAGCUACGCACAAGUACAGGUUGCAAACUGGGUUGAAAUUAACCCAAGCAAAAACGACGCAGUUACUUUUAAUUAUGGUCGUGUAGAAUCAUCCAGAACUGCACUAUUUCACAAAAAUUCACUUGUUUAUUUAGAUUGAAAAGAUUGUUAAAGACAUUCAUGGACCAGCACUGACACUUGUUCUUGAGAAGAUAAAACCAUAUGGAGCUUUUCAAGAUCACUGACGAGGAAAAAGAAUUUCAAACUUAAGAUUGGAGAUAAAUCAAGCCGCAUUAGGAACACAAGAAGUCCCAGUACUUGUUGAAGCUCAUGUCCAUGGAACAGAAGAUGUGCGGGAAUUGCUCAAGACUGGAAAUAGUCAGAUUUGUUGGCUCCACCUCUGCCAAUGAGCUUAGCAGCUGUUCAUGUUGGGUAAUGAAAACCUGGUUGUUUUUCAUGCGGUUUGUUGCGAGUAACAGUCAUCGGGGAGAAUUCAUUUUCAAUCAAUGUCCAGAAAACAAGGAGUCACCUUUGGCUAGUAGACUUAGCAGGUAGCGAGCGUGUGGGAAAAACUCAAGCUGUGGGAGAAAGAUUAAAGGAAUCUUAAUUCAUAAACAAGUUUCUUUCGGCACUAGGUGCUGUUAUUUCUGCUCUUGCUUCCUUACAGAAUUGAGAGUGGCCCAGCUCGCAAACAAGUAGACCUCAGUGAGCUGUUUAAGUACAAACUAAUGGCAGAAAAGGCCAAACACGAUGAGAAGGAAACAAAGAAGUUACUUGAUAGUCUGCAAACUUUGCAAUUCAGACUUGCUGAGAGAGAAUACCAUUGUAAAAACUUUCAAGAAAAGGUACGGGACCUGGAGAAUCAAGUAGCAGAAGAAAGAAAACUAGACUAAAGCAAGAAAAAUUAGACCACCACCUGUACAAUCAACAACACAGGAAGUUCUACAAUGGAUCAGAAACAUAGUUCAGGAGUUUGGAGCUCCAAACAUUACUUUCACCACUACUAAAGUCAACUUAUCAUCAUUGAAAACCAAUGCAUCUUCAACAUGUUCUCUAUCUCCACCCAAUUCUCCCAGUAACAUCUCAUUACUACUGCAAUCUUGAUCCUGAAAGUAAAGUGUUUUAUUUUUUGGUUUUCUUGAUCUUUCACAGUUUCAGAUAAAUGAAAUUUCUUCGGAAAAUCAAGAGGAAACAGAAGAACUCAAGCUUCUUGUUGAAUGGAAGAGACAGAAAGUGGAUUUAAAGGAUUUAAAGCUUCCAUGUUUAGUUUUGGUAAGCACAUGUUUAUCAUGCAUCGGGCAAUUGUUUUGUGGCAAACAUGGUUAGCUUAGUUCUAUUACUUUUAUGGAGUGGUGCAUUUUGAUCUAUCAAGUUCUGCAAAUUCCCUCACAAACUUUAUGGGUUCAGCUUUCUUGCUUUCUCUUGUUGGUGACUUCAUCUCGGUACUUAUUUGAAUAGCUAGGUUCACCACGUGCUUGCUUUUUGGAUGACUAGAAGUUAUGGUGGUAAGUUCUUCAAAAUCGCAAAAAAAAACAUCAUAUGACAUACACAAUUUUUUUAUCUGUUUUUUGUGUGGUUUUCUUUUUGACAUGAAAUUUCCCAACUUACAACGUCUGGUUUCAUAAUGUCGGGUCCCAAACUGACGUUAAAAGUAAUUUUCAAAUCGGAUCACCAAGACUACAGACGUGAAAAGUGAAGACUUACAACGUCUGUUGUCAUAUUGUCGGGUUACAAACUGACGUCAAAUCUGUUCAGCAAGACAACCGACGUGAAAAGUCCAUACAUACAACAACGUCUGGUUUCUAGUGGUCGGCUCCCAAACCAAUGUUAAAAGACUUUUUAAAUCAGUUCCGAAAGACAACAGACGUAAAGUAAAGUUUAUAUACCGUUUCACUCGAAAUCUCGUGUAGAUCAUGAAAAUAAACUUAGAUUUUUUAA